UACGGAGGGGGGCGAGCGUUAUUCGGAAUUAUUGGGCGUAAAGGGCGCGUAGGCGGCUGGACAAGUCAAAGGUGAAAUCCCUCGGCUCAACUGAGGAACUGCCUUUGAAACUGUCCGGCUUGAGGCCGGGAGGGGGUAGCGGAAUUCCCAGUGUAGCGGUGAAAUGCGUAGAUAUUGGGAGGAACACCAGUGGCGAAGGCGGCUACCUGGACCGGUACUGACGCUGAUGCGCGAAAGCGUGGGUAGCAAACAGG
rnacentral:rRNA from 1 species